ACUUUGUUUUGAUUCAGUAAGUGGUAGACAAACAAGAUGCAGGCCUGAACAUGACCGAGAGCUGGCCUUGGCAUCGGACGAGUAAUCACGUUAGAAUCCCUUCCUUUCUCCCCCUUUCCUGGCCCCGCGGCCGGCAGGGCUGACAGCCACCUCCGGCCCCACAGACAGGUCCCUGCAAGGACCACGACUUCACCUCCACGAAGAACCAGGCCUCCUCAGGUUAACCACUCCCAAAAUGCAAAGCGGGGUCUGGAGGGGUCCAGGGACUGGGCCUUGGCCACUCUGAGGAGCUGGUCUGAGCAGACUUGGCAGGGACGCAGCGGGCACAGUUGGCUGUCACAAGGAGCCGAGGAACAGUCUGUGCCAUUUGCACAGAGUCACAUUUCUGACUUGAUUGAAAGAAGAAUCUUGAACAAUAUAUAGAUUUUUCAGUGACUCAAGGCUUGCUCUUGCCAACUCCUAGCAUAAAGCAUGUUUUUACAGCUGGGAGGAUGAGUCUCUGAAAGAUGGCACUUACCAUGGAAACGCUGACACAGCCUCUCAUUCCCUUCACGGUGAUUACAAUCCUCAUUUCAAUUUGUUUUUCUUUAUUUCGAGCUGCAGUUAUGUGCAAGCCCAGGAGUCUCUCUGGCUGUGACAGGAAACGAAAUGCUGCCCUCUGUCGGAAGUAAGAGGGAAAUGCUUUUGACUUCCUGCUGCAAAGUGGUGCAAAUCUGGGUUUGGAGAACCACGGGCACCCAGGAAAUCAGCCUUUCUUACUAACAAUCUUACCAGGAAAGAAAUUCCUGCAGGGACUUACCUUGUUUCCUAGGGAAAGUGAGGCCCUGGAGGGAAAGAGGCAUAUUUUAUGCCCCUGGGUUUCAGGGGCAGGUGCCCUCUGUUGAUUCAAGGCUUGCAGUCUCAGCUGAACCAACAGCUCAGCAGUCCUCCUAACCAAACGCCCAAGAAGGUCUUUCUAUUCCCAGAUGUCUUCACUGAUAAGAAAAUGGGUAAUGGAUCCGGCCACACUCCUCAAUCUGCCGGUGAGACCGCAGCGGGCUGAGAGCUGACGUGUUCUCAUAUUUCCCCACCAAAAUAAGGCUUCGUUCAACUGCACAGAUCACAUCAGAAUGUGGCCGAAUGCAUUUCCCCCAUUCUGCACACAGCCAGUGUGUCCCACAGAUAACCAGUGGGUAGAGACACUCCUCACAACAGGAGAUCAGAGACUGAAGAAAGCUGGUAAUGUUGCUAGUAGCUCUAGGACAUUUUUAAAGGUCAUCAUACGUACCCGUAUGUUAAAGGCUCUGAGAAGUCCUGCACGGGAGAAAUCUAAUGAACUUUGUUUUACUCAUUGUUUCUCAUUUCCUCACCGGACCAUUUCUUCGUAGAACAUCUGCUAUCAUCCUGUAACACACUAGCAUUGAUCACUCGCGGAUGGUACAUCAUCCCUCUCUCCUUUGCAAGAGGCAGGUAGGUGAAUCGCCUUGUCCACCUGAUUCCCAGCGUCCAGAACUCUGCCCGGCACACAUAGGCGCUCGAUCGGCAUCUCUUCUUGAAUGGCCACCUGCUAUUUCAGCAGGGAGGGGAUAUCAGAGCAUCGGGAGUUCAGAAACCCGAGUCCACACGAAGACAAUGGCAACAAGCAGAAGGUGUGAACGCUCCCAAGCAGGCCCCGGUUUGGAAAACGUGAUAAAGCGGUUAUUGUGUGUCCGAACUUUUCACACAAGAAUUGGAGGAGAUUUAACACCAGGAAUAAUAAACAGAGGGAGGCCGGCUAAUGCAGAGCAGAUGGGCCCGCAGGGUAGUGCUGAGCAUUUCAACGUCUUUCCCCUCGGACCCUUGGACCCAAGAUGACGGAAUGCUGGAUUCGUUAGUUAAAGAUAAAGUUCGUGCAAUGGGGAAAACAAUAAAUAUGGCUGGUUUGAUUUCUGGGGCAGUGAGGGGACUAAAGAUUUUAAGACCCUUCUAUGUGGCAGGCAUUCAUUGCUUUAAUCCUGGCCACAGAUCCAUAUUACAGAUGAGAACACCAAGGCUCUGAAAGUGUAAAUCGCUUCCUGAAGGGCCCUCAGCCAGCAUGAAGUGGAUCAGUGCCAGGUCUGUCUCAUUACGUAUGCAUGCCACGGUUCUGCAAACUGGGGCAAAAGGUGAGCAGGGAACGUGGGUCAUGGUCAGCCCGGCUGGUGUGGCUCAGUGGUUCAUUGACAACCUAUGAAUCAGGAGGUCACCAGUUCGAUUCCUGGUCAGGGCGCAUGCCCAGGUA